GGGGUCUAUAGUGGUUUAUACCAGUACCUUUUCAUGUGAUCAGGAAUGAUCUUGUGGGAAUAAAGCUGCUCACAGGUUUUAAUGCAUGACUCAUCAUGUUGUGUUGAAUGAAGGGAGUGUUGAAUGACGAUAAUGUCACCUAUAAGAACACUUACUGGGAGGCAAGAAAGGUGGCAAGGGAUAAAUUGAAGAAGAAAGUCGCUACAUACAAAAUGGGACUUGUUGACAAACUCAAAGCUAAGCUCCAUGGCUAGGGACAUGUGCACAUAGGUGAGAAUGGAAGCAUUCGCUGCACUUGGUAAAAUUCAACGAGUUUCUGAGGGUGUUCUUCUACAAUCGCUAGAAAAGAAGGUCAUGAAAACUGACAGGAUGGGUGUUUCUAUCAUCAACUGGCAAAAAUUACCUCCUAAACUAAAAAUUCCCUGUGUUGCUGGGAUUUUUCCCAUGGAGUUGAAGAUGAAUUUACAAGGUGAGAAGAACUGCCUGCAAAUCAUUAGGAGCGUUGGCAAAGUUUUCUACUUAGUACAUAGAGAAGGCCUUGGACUUGUUGAUGGACAUGAUGAAUGACGAUACAGAAGCAGUUAUGCUCCAGGCUCUAGAAGCACUAUUUCGUAUGGCAACAUAUGGAUGUUUGAGUGUGCAGGAGAAGCACAUGCAUAUGGUAUUAACUAUGAACAUACUCCGUUCACAAAUGCAUGACUGUUACCGGGAAAGCUCUAGCUGAACUACAGUAGGAAAGUAUCUUUUUUCAAUUGAAUGGAGAGCUGGAUGUUGACCUAGAUGAUUUUAGCUUGGAGAAAUAUUUAUCUGCAAAAACUCUUGUUUCUUCAAGGUCCUUCCAGAUAGAUAACUAUCAUGGAUCUGGAAUGGUUCCAUUGGCUGACCUGUAAGUUUCUUCCUGAUUCUGUAAUUAGAUACUUUAUUUACCUGGUUAUAUCGGAAAUGAUACAUCACUUCAGCAUGUAUUUCGGCAACUAUUUCUGUGUAGUAUUAAUCUAGGUGGCUGAAGUGGCUGCAUGGCUGUGUGUAAUACAACAAAUACCAGUAGAGUAGUGUCAUGUAUGCAUCUGUGGAUGUAUUAUGAAUUUUUUGUAGAAAAACUAUACUUUUAAUCGAGCGAGAACAUAGUACCAUGCUUUUAUUGUUCUCCUGCUCUUACCUGACAUUGUGUUACACAGUGAUACAAAUAACUUUCUUUUGGGGCAGUGUAGCCACAGAUGCCUUUAUCCCCUUCCAUUUCGAUUUUUUUGUUGAAUUCAGGUUCCUGAUGAUGUUUUAAUCUAUAGAUGUGUUAGAAGACGACCGGAUCCUGUGUGACUGGCAAGAUUUACCAUUUAAAAACUAUGCCCCCCCCCCUCCGCGGAAAAUGAUGUUAAUGUCCACCCAGUAACUUUUUGUUUUGUUUCCUGUCAUCUGAAGAUCAAAGAUCCUAAGAAACAGUUUCUGGUUUAUGGGUCUAGCAGAGCCAGAAGUGAGCACCUACAACCCUUUUAAGUUAAGCAACACAAGUUGAAUUCAUGGGAGCAUGUGGUUUGUUACCAAGAUCCAUUGUAUAUACAUAUGACUUAUCAAUGAUUUUCAAGUUGUUGUAACUAUCCAGUAUCGUACAACUGACCUGUUACCUAGGAGGAAACACCGCAUGAGUGUUGUUGGUAUCCUUGUCUGGUGAGCGAAAAUCUCUCUUAUCUUUUGUUUCUCUUCUUCGUUUGAUUCAGUCCAAUCAUUUCCUUAAAUUAUCUAUAGAUAUGAGGCGGGGGGAGUGAUUCUCCUGGAGGUGGAGGAGGAUGAAGUGGUGAUCGACUUCAAGCCAACUCCAAGUGCCAUGUCGACCUCUGCCUCCGCUCCCUGCACACAUCCUUCCCAAUCGUCUUCAAGGUCCAGACCUCCUCCCCGCUCAAGUUCCUCGUCAGCACGUUGCGCGGUGCUGUGUCGCCGCUUUCCUCGGUGUCCAUACGCGUGGUGUGAGGCAUCCCACUUCAUCUCUAAUCACCCCUUUAUGUGCACAUCUUCCAUAUGUGACCCCCUUCUCCAUAUAAUUUCAAUAAAUUUUACU